CUGGGAGUUGUAUGAUCAUGCACAAUCCACGGUCGGCUGUUAACAAGCUUCUGGAAACUAUCUGCAUCUCCUGGACGGAAUCCAUUUGUCUUCUCUUGUACCUUCCUAAGCACAAACCUUGCUUGAGACUCAAAACCUGGCGGAGGUGACAAGAACUUGUCUACAUUUCCAGAUUUCGAACUUCUGUUCACACCUUCAAAGCCUGGUGGAGGUGACAACAACUUGUCCACCUUUACAGAUUUGGAACAACCUUCAAAACCUGGCGGAGGUGACAAGAACUUGUCCACAUUUCCAGAUUUCGAACUUGUGUUCCCACCUUCAAUGCCCAUUAAACCUUACAGCCACCUCCCAGUAGUCUAGUGUAUUGAACAAUAAUCUGCAGUAGAUAAGAUCGUUUCAUCAUCAUUAGUGCCUUAUUAUAAACAUCACAACAAACCACAGAACAAGUAUUAUUAAUAAAAUUCUCCUCUUGGUUGGUCUUGGAACCUUACUCCUUCCUACAGGAAACUAACUUUCGAACAGAUUCAGAUAUUUAAAAGCCAAUCUUUACAUUAAAACGUUCUGGGUUUCUCAAAAUGAAACUUCUUUCAAAAUGGGUUCACUAAAGGAAGCUCCUUUUCAAUCAUAAAGAUGCAAAUCAUUUGCAGCCCCUAGCUAAGAUUGAACCUAAGCGUCUCAAAACAAGUAUCGAAUCUUAGGAUACAAAAUCUAACCCG